ACAACUCAGGUCUGUGGUUGAAAGUCGAUGCCAGUUGCAGGCAAAACGAUCCACGUAAGCAGUAAAAAUUACUGUGAGCACGGUGCAGCUUAGAAGUAAGUCCUGCCGCAUAAAAAUUGAGGCGAGAGAGGUAGUAGUGGGGAGCAGAGUCUUAGGAGCGAACCCUCCAGCAGGCGAGUGUGGGGGCGAAAACCAGGUCAGCUGAGUUGU
rnacentral:ncRNA from 12 species